GCGAACGGGUGAGUAACACGUGGGCAACCUGCCCAAAAGAGGGGGAUAACACUUGGAAACAGGUGCUAAUACCGCAUAACCAUAGUUACCGCAUGGUAACUAUGUAAAAGGUGGCUAUGCUACCGCUUUUGGAUGGGCCCGCGACGCAUUAGCCAGUUGGUGGGGUAAAGGCUUACCAAGGCAAUGAUGCGUAGCCGAACUGAGAGGUUGAUCGGCCACAUUGGGACUGAGACACGGCCCAAACUCCUACGGGAGGCAGCAGUAGGGAAUCUUCCACAAUGGGCGAAAGCCUGAUGGAGCAACGCCGCGUGGGUGAAGAAGGUCUUCGGAUCGUAAAACCCUGUUGUUAGAGAAGAAAGUGCGUGAGAGUAACUGUUCACGUUUCGACGGUAUCUAACCAGAAAGCCACGGCUAACUACGUGCCAGCAGCCGCGGUAAUACGUAGGUGGCAAGCGUUAUCCGGAUUUAUUGGGCGUAAAGAGAACGCAGGCGGUCUUUUAAGUCUGAUGUGAAAGCCUUCGGCUUAACCGGAGUAGUGCAUUGGAAACUGGGAGACUUGAGUGCAGAAGAGGAGAGUGGAACUCCAUGUGUAG
rnacentral:rRNA from 1 species